UACGUAGGGGGCUAGCGUUGUCCGGAAUCAUUGGGCGUAAAGAGCGUGUAGGCGGUCCGGUAAGUCCGCUGUGAAAGUCGGGGGCUCAACCCUCGAAUGCCGGUGGAUACUGUCGGGCUAGAGUGCGGAAGAGGCGAGUGGAAUUCCUGGUGUAGCGGUGAAAUGCGCAGAUAUCAGGAAGAACACCCGUAGGUCUCAAGGCGGCUCUCGUAGU
rnacentral:rRNA from 1 species